ACUGCCUCUAGAGGCAUUGCAGGUGUGGCUGCUAUGUCACUGUGCGUCAGCAGGUGGCAGAGAGGAGAGAGGGUAUGUCUACACUUAGUGUUCUGACCUGCCAACAUCUGAAUGAUUAUCAGCCUAACACU